AUGCCAGGGGAGGGACACCUGCUAUACCCCAGCUAUACACAAUGAGCUGAAAGGAGAGGGCUGGGGCCAAGAUUCUGCCACAUCUUAUUUGUGUCGUGUUGGAGCCUCUCAUCAUAUGAGGGGAGAGACUGAUGCUUCCCAGUAAUGAAUGUUAAAACCCCCCCUAAGACCAAGAUGUGGGAUCCUUCUCCCAGAAACUGACUUUGGGCCAGGUUAGUUUUGCAUGUGCUGCCCCAGAGUGUGAUGGAGGAACAUCUACUACAGACCGCAUCUCGCAUUUCCCUUUGAGCUAUGUACCAUAUGGAGAAGUAGAAAAAUACAGCUUUACUGAUUAUUUACAUACUUGUGAACUAGAAUCCCUUCAGGGAUUGCAUGAAACUCACACCAGACUUCUGGCC
rnacentral:lncRNA from 1 species